rnacentral:rRNA from 1 species
GACGAACGCUGGCGGCGUGCCUAAUACAUGCAAGUCGAGCGAAGUUUUUCUGGUGCUUGCACUAGAAAAACUUAGCGGCGAACGGGUGAGUAACACGUAAAGAACCUGCCUCAUAGACUGGGACAACUAUUGGAAACGAUAGCUAAUACCGGAUAACAGUAUUUCUCGCAUGAGAGAUAUUUAAAAGUUGGUUAUGCUAACACUAUGAGAUGGCGUUGCGGUGCAUUAGCUAGUUGGUGGGGUAAAGGCCCACCAAGGCGACGAUGCAUAGCCGACCUGAGAGGGUGAGCGGCCACACUGGGACUGAGACACGGCCCAGACUCCUACGGGAGGCAGCAGUAGGGAAUCUUCCGCAAUGGGCGAAAGCCUGACGGAGCAACGCCGCGUGAGUGAAGAAGGAUUUCGGUUCGUAAAGCUCUGUUGUUAGGGAAGAAUGGAUAUGUAGUAACUAUACAUGUAAGAGACGGUACCUAACCAGAAAGCCACGGCUAACUACGUG